GGUUCCGUGGUGUAUUUGGUUAUCACAUGGCCUUAACACGGCCAAGGUACCCGGUUCGAUCCCGGGCGGAAUCA